UCCUGGAGGAGCUGAGCUCUGUAAGACAGCACACAGUGAGUGAAAUCCCAGCCGCUCAUAAUCGCAAUCCACCUGUAUUGGUACACUGUACAGCUGGAGUGGGGCGUACUGGAGUAACGAUACUGAGUGAUUUACUGCUUUACACACUUGAUCACAACCAGGAAGCAGAUGAAGUUAAUGGAAGACCAUAUCAAGCAGUAUAAAGACAAUUAUCCUGUGGACAAAUAUAAGAAUUCUGUUUAACAUAUCAUCUACAACUUGAAAUGUUAAGAUGUCUGGCCACAAGGACAGGAUUGCAAGUUCUGUGAAGAAAAAUGUUGUUUUAAAGAGUGAAUUUUCCAUGGAUUUGCAUGGAAGUACAAAUACACAAAUGGGAAAAGUACUUUACUAUGAGGGUUUUUUAAUUAUUUUUAUAUAAAUUGUAUAACUUGUUUUAUAACAUUUUAUGUGCUCCAUAUAUGUAUAUGGUAUUUUAUUGUAACUUAAUGUAAGCUGACACAUAUAAUGCACAUUUUCCAUCAUCUCAUUUUGAUUAAAGAACUGCAAUAUGUCAGAAUUUGACUCUAGCUCCAUCAUCAGGUAAAAAAAGAAAGAGAAAAAAG